UACUAGAGUAGCACUCGCAUAUCAAUAAGCGGAGGAAAAGAAACUAACAAGGAUUCCCCUAGUAACGGCGAGUGAAGCGGGAAGAGCUCAAAUUUGAAAUCUUAAAAGGUUUUCCUUUUACGAAUUGUAGUUUAAAGAAGUGUUUUCUGUUGAAGUUUUGGUACAAGUUCUUUGGAAUAGGACAUCAUAGAGGGUGAGAAUCCCGUAUUUGACCUUAAUUUUUCAACUUUGUGAUACACUUUCAAAGAGUCGGAUUGUUUGGGAAUGCAGUCCAAAAUGGGUGGUAAAUUUCAUCUAAGGCUAAAUAUUGGCGAGAGACCGAUAGCGAACAAGUACCGUGAGGGAAAGAUGAAAAGAACUUUGAAAAGAGAGUUAAAUAGUACGUGAAAUUGUCAAAAGGGAAGCGUUUGGCACCAGUGUUGUUUUUCUAAAAAUCAAUUUAAAAUUUGCUUAUGUUAAGUGUUUUAGACUUAAUCGGCUAUACAUUUAAUUCUUUGUAAAUUUUGAAUGCACUUUUUAGUUAACAAGUCAACAUCAAUUUUUUUUGCUGUAAAAAAGUAAGAGGAAGGUGGCUUGAGAUUCGUUUCAAGUGUUUAUAGCCUCUUGCCCAUGCAGUAGGAGAGAUUGAGGUCUGCAGCAUCAGAUCCUUCGGGGCUAGAUGCUUUUGUGCUAGAAGCUAGUAUUAUAUAGACAACUUGUUGAUUAUGUAAUAUAUUAGUUUCUACUCGCUAAAGUUAUUUUACCUACGCUUAGGAUGUUGACGAGACUGUCGAUCUC
rnacentral:rRNA from 1 species